CCUGCCAGCAGUCCAGGGAACAUCCCAUACUACCAUCAUCUGGAGGCACUUCAUCGACGGACAGUACUGUAACUUCCAGUGAUUCUGGAUCAGAAAUUUUGAAUGUGGCUUCUAGUGACCUUGACGGUCAAUCACUCUGUAAGAAAGAGGAGGCUGCGUCUACCGUGAUGGA